rfam:Asian citrus Psyllid, Diaphorina citri - Florida Strain, whole genome shotgun sequence.
GCCUCGGUGGUGUAGUGGUGGUCAAGGCGCUCGACUGGUAAACAGGAGGGCGUGGGUUCAAUCCCAGCCGAGGUA